rnacentral:rRNA from 1 species
GAUGAACGCUAGCGACAGGCUUAACACAUGCAAGUCGAGGGGCGAUCACGGGUAGCAAUAUCUGGUGGCGACCGGCGAACGGGUGGAGUAACGCGUAUGCAACCUACUUGUAAACGGGAGACAACCUGGAGAAAUUUGGGCUAAACUUCCAUGAGGCAUUAUUACUGCAUGGUAAUGAUGUCAAACGUAAGGUUUACAAAUGGGCAUGCGUAUGAUUAGCUAGUUGGUAGGGUAAUAGCCUACCAAGGCGACGAUCAUUAGGGGUUCUGAGAGGAAGGUCCCCCACAUUGGAACUGAGAUACGGUCCAAACUCCUACGGGAGGCAGCAGUAGGGAAUAUUGGACAAUGGGCGCAAGCCUGAUCCAGCCAUGCCGCGUGAGUGAAGAAGGCCCUCGGGUUGUAAAGCUCUUUUGUCCGGAAAAGAAAAGCGCCGGGUUAAUACCCUAGUGUCCUGACGGUACCGGAAGAAUAAGCACCGGCUAACUUCGUG